rnacentral:lncRNA from 1 species
CUCUUACCUCUUUUUCUCUUGCUGUUACUCUUGCUCCCUUGCUCCCCUUCUCUCUGCCUUCCCUCCCCCACUCUCUCCACGUGGCCAUGGCCAUGGCCAGCCUCUACUUCCCUACUCUCUCCCUCUCUCUUUCUUUCUACAAUAAAAGCUUUAUUAAAGCCAAUAAAAAACCAUGGAUUGCCUCUUCACAUCAGGAUCCGCUUUGCUGGAACAAUGGAGCAGGACUUCCCCUAAUGAGCUGCCUGUCUAACCUCCGGGAGGCCUUCCUGCAGCAACAGCCGCCACCAACCCAAGCGCCCACGCACUGAGCAAGCCACCAAGUAAGCCAGAAGACUCUCCUCCCUGCCAGACCCAGCCAAAGCUCUCUCCUCUCGGCCCCUUUCCCUUUCGCCCCUGGGCCAGAGGCUGCCCGAGGGUCCCCACUCGGUUCUCAGUUCUUCUGCAAUAUCCAGCAGCAUCUGAGCUGUCCAUGACUAAGAACCUGACGUCCCUGGCUUCCAUGCGGCCCAGGGACCGCAGAACCGGCUCUUCCACGGUACCCAGCAGAGUCAGAGCCCAACUCCCGCAGGUCUGCAGGGACCCCUAUGGCACCUUUCUAACACCCCCACCCCCGGGAGCAGAAUCCUGUGGCUUCUCAGAGCCUGAUGCCCUCCAGGGGUUCUGUGGGGAUGCCUACAGUCAAACUCCCCGCGUCCACUGCGCCCAGCAACCUUAGCCUCAAGUGGACGCAGGACCCCAGUUUUGACCCACACGGAACCUCUACACCAACAUUUAAAACUAAAGGUCAUCUAUAGACUAGGAUUUAUCAAAUUCAGGGCCUUUUAUCUUUUGACCUCAGGGUCUCUGACUUCUGCAUGAAACAGGUUUAGCUUUCACACCUUUGGAAACAUAGUGAACAUUUAGAAUCUCAUUGACCUAAACCUACUGUUUCUCAAUAGAAAUCCUGUAGUCAAAAAAAAAAAAGUAUCACCCUGAGACAAGUCCCUGGAGGUGAUAAGGAAUGAGUUUUGGUCUCUCAUCUUUGUAAGCCAUGCAGUAAAAUCUUCAAGUCUUGCUACAAGGUGGAAAACAUGCGAUUUUCUUGAGUAUUUGUUCUUUUGGAAAGAUCUAUCUAUCUAUCUAUCUAUCUAUCUAUCUAUCUAUCUAUCUAUCUAUCUAUCUAUCUAUCUAUCUAUCUAAUCUAUCUAUCUACCUAUCUAUCCAUCCAUCCAUCCGUCUACCUACCUAUCUAUGGUGUAUGUAUACAUAUAUAUGCAUUAUAUAUACAUAUAUAUAUACACACAGAUACACAUGUAUAUACAUAUAUGUGUGUGUAUGUAUAAUAUACAUGUAUACUAUAUACAUGUAUAUUAUGUAGUAUUCACACACAUAUAUGUAUGCAUAUGUAUAUAUGCAUACAUACACACACAUAUAUAUUUAACAGGAUCUUAAAAUUAUGUUUUAGAUACCAAAGCAACUAUAAUUAAACUCUUUGGAACAUUUGCUUUAAUUAUGCAAUCUUUUUUUUGCAUAAUCUUCUUGAAACUCUGUAAAACAAAUGCUAAUCAUUUUGUAAAUGAGAUAAAUCUAUUUAAACCCAUUAGAGAAGCUUUUCAAAAUUUCUGUCUACUUGUUCUCACUAUUUGAGUGUCAAGAAAUGCCAGUUGGUUUUACCUAUUUAAUUAAGGAUAAUAAAAAAGAAAUCUC